rnacentral:rRNA from 1 species
GACGAACGCUGGCGGCGUGCUUAACACAUGCAAGUCGAACGAAGAGCGAUGGAAGCUUGCUUCUAUCAAUCUUAGUGGCGCACGGGUGAGUAACGCGUAAUCAACCUGCCCUUCAGAGGGGGACAACAGUUGGAAACGACUGCUAAUGCCGCAUACGAUCUGACCUCGGCAUCGAGGAUAGAUGAAAGGUGGCCUCUAUUUAUAAGCUAUCACUGAAGGAGGGGAUUGCGUCUGAUUAGCUAGUUGGAGGGGUAACGGCCCACCAAGGCAAUGAUCAGUAGCCGGUCUGAGAGGAUGAACGGCCACAUUGGGACUGAGACACGGCCCAGACUCCUACGGGAGGCAGCAGUGGGGAAUCUUCCGCAAUGGACGAAAGUCUGACGGAGCAACGCCGCGUGAGUGAUGACGGCCUUCGGGUUGUAAAGCUCUGUUAAUCGGGACGAAAGGCCUUCUUGCGAAUAGUUAGAAGGAUUGACGGUACCGGAAUAGAAAGCCACGGCUAACUACGUG